AGAAAUGACUUGGCCUAUCUUUUACUUUUGAAGUAUGAACCAGGUCAUUGGAAGGCGCAAUCUACAGCAAAAGAACUUUGGCAAGUUCGAUCAGUCUUCUCUUGAACAGCAACUCGAAGAUGGUACAUUCACAGCCCUCAGCAAGGAAGUAGCACAAAGGACACUUGAAUUAAGGCAUAUGAGAGGAGAAGAACUCCAGCGAUUGAGCAUUGAGCAACUACAAGAAUUAGAGAAGUCACUUGAAAGAGGCUUGAAACGAGUUCUGGAAACUAAGAGUCAGUAAUUACAAAUGAGAUCAAUGCCCUCAAAAGCAAGGUCAUAUGCCCAUCUUUGAACUGAAGCUCAAUUAAUAGAAGAGAAUGAGCGACUAAAGCAACAAAUAAUGAAUGUACCAAUGGGCAGACUGCAUUUAUCUGAACCAGGACAGUCAUCAGAUUCCAUGAUCACUAAUACCAGCAGCUCUGCAGAUCUUUCUCUAGACUAUGAAGGAAACUACACUUUCCUUAGAUUGGGUGCAGUAGCCAAAAUAAGAUGGGGUGACUUUUACCUGUUCUUGGAUGUUAAUCAAGCAACCAAGUGAAAAUAUUUUUUUCAUUAGAAAUGGAAGAAAAUUAUUCCUCAGAAGUUGCGUGUAUAUAAGGAGACUAUUCCGGUUGCUGAAUGCAAGGCUUCCAAUGUGGAUUUGUAGCGACAUAGUUGCUUGGUAUCUAUAACGUAUAUAUCCAAGGGCUCUAUUUCUCUUGCUCUCGUAGCAAAUGGUUGCAGAUAUGGUAUACAAAGUAUAUGAUGUUAUUUGAUAAUACACUCAUAUGUAUGUAGAUGAUACUAUUCGAAUACAGACCAGAAACCUAAUUCUCAAAA